CUCGCUUCCCUCCUCCGUUAGAUGCUCAUCCAGUCUCCACUCCUUCAAAAAAUCGUUAAAAACCCAUUUCUUCAUAAAAGCGUAUCAAUUAAACUGUUAAUAGCUCCUGACUGAUUCCUCUUCUGCAACUGUCACUAGUCUAAUACUAUCCUUACCUUUUUGUGUCAUUUUACCCCACUCCCUCUAGCAUGUAAGCUCAUUGAGCAGGGCCCUCAACCCCUCUGUUCC